AUAUCUGUACUUAAUAGGAUAAAACUAAAAUGCAGUAUCUGUUCUUAUCAGUUUAAUAUCUGAUACAUCCUCUAUCCGAUGACAGCACAUUAAAUGUAUUUUUGCAAAUAGGAGUUGGACUAGGAGCUUGCUCCAUCCACUCCACACAUCAACCUGGUAUUGCAGUACUUCCAGGAACGGUGCAGCCCCU
ensembl:snRNA U2 U2 spliceosomal RNA